AAGACUACUGUCCGUCUCUUUAGAAUCUUUUUGUGAUGGGCCAUUAUCCUUGGUUAUAAAUAAUAAGAUCAAUGUAGCUGCGAAGUUCAUAAUAAAACAUUAAUACUAGCUCCCUUCAAUACACUUCCUUAUUAGGUUUUAGAAUUGCACUUCUUUAUUAAGUUUAUACAAUUCCAAUGGUGAUUUUUAAUAGCAGCAAACCUGCUGGAUUUUCCAAGUUGGUCGUCAGCUAUGACCGCAGUGUGACCAGGGUCGCAACCUAUGAAGAAAAUGAUGGGGAUGACGAUGAUGACGAUGAUGAUGGAAAAAAUGUGGCGCCAGCAGCCUAGUUAUUUUCAUGAUGAGUUCUACUUUCUACUAGUAGUAGUAGUAGUCUUUUCGAUAUCAUGGAGGAGGGUUGAAGAAAAUAUUAGAAUCCUUCAAUAUGUUGCACCAACUACGUAGCAAUCAUGUGGAAUUGUACGUAGUUUUCUAUUUUUCUAUCAAUAAUGUAUGGUAGUAGUCAUGUCUGAGUUUUACUCAUAUAAUAAGGUUAUCAAUAUAUAUAGCUAGUGACCUGAAUGUUUACACUAGUAUCGAAUCAAUACAGUUAGACAUAUAUACCUAUCUAGUUUUAUCACGAUACUACUCUGUUUCUCUCUCAAACUAGCAUGCAAUUUGAAAUGUUUAUUAGACAGUCUUUUCUCUUUCCUCUCUCGUCUCUCCUCUCUCCAUCUCAGGUAUUUUGCGCUUGCAAUGCACUUACAAUGCUGUACGUACCGAUUAAAAAAACAGGAAAGAUGACCCACAAAGAACUAGUUCUCAAAUUAUUGACUGAGGGGAACAGUCAAAAUCAAGCUCUAAAAGCUUCUUGUGUAAGAUCCUAGACCCAUUGAUCGUAGCGUUUUGACAGAACAAGUGAAUCAUCGAUUUGAGUUACUUUGGAACCCUAGAGGCCAGGAUCCUCCUAGCACACUAAAUUGUCGAUGUUGCCAUGAAGAGUAGACACGUCGAGAUCCUAUGGUAGAUGAGUGUGUGAUUGCCAUAGUGAGGUUGCUUGGUUUAGAGCGUCUACACAUGGUCCCAUCCAUAAAGCUUGAUCAUGGAACACGCUUUCCAAAUAACAAUAAAUAUCAAAAAAUUUAGUUAGUUGUCACGUUUCAAAACAAUGCUGAAAACUAGCAUCUCGAGUGUCUAAAACUCGAGUUUCAAGAUAAAACUCGAGUUUUUAAGUCUCGAUUUGUAAGCGGAUGGGUCUGAUGUGGAAAAAAAUCCACAUGGAAAUCGAGUUUUAAAGACUCGAUUUCUAUAAAUUGCAGAAAAACGCCGUUAUAGGGCUUUAAAACGUCACUAUAGGGCUUAAAAACACCACUAUAGAGCUCCCAGAACCUGGAUGGGGUGAUCACACUUAUAAAAAAAAAAUUUUGCAGGAAAAUGCAGCUAUAGGGUUUUAAAACGUCACUAUAGGACUUAAAAACGUCACUAUAGGGGAAAAUUUUUUUGCAUGGAACUCGAGUCUUAAAGAUUCGAGAUCUAUGUGGCAUUUUCAAUCCAAAUCGCCCAGCCAAAUACUCACAAAGCGAGUCUUUGGGACUCGGGUUUUAAUAUGGAUCUCGAUUUUCUAAAACUCGAGAUGUUAUUUUUCUUAAAACUUUGAAACGUUGCCUAACUUACUACAUAGUUGCCCCUCACACUGCUAGUCUGCCCAUUCCCCCCUUGAUCAUGCAUUGAUCACUGCAUUUGUAGAGCGAUGGCACCCAGAGACCCAUUCUUUCCACCUUCCACAUGAUGAGAUAACGAUCACAUUACAAGACGUGGAAGUUAUAAUGGGGAUGCCCAUCGAGGGUGAGGUAAUGGUUGGAUUCACUAAAAGAACUUGGAAAACUAUGUGCAAUGAAAUACUUGGAAUUCAAAUUCCAGAUGAAAAUAAAACCAUGCUAGAUGGUCAAAGGAUUCAAAUAAAAGUGCUCGUUGACCAAAUUGCACAACCAUUGCCUCCAGAUGCCAAUGAGUUAUAGGUUCAUUAGUAUGCUCACUACUAUGUACUAGCCCUACUAGUGAGUUAUAGGUUCAUUAGUAUGCUCACUACUAUGUACUAGCCCCACUAGGGGAUAUGGUAUUUGUUGACAAGUCCGGAGAUAGGGUCCACCUCAUGUGGUUGGAGUUCAUGGAGAACCUUCAUAAUCCACCUAAGCAUAGUUGAGGUAGUGCAUCCCUAUCAUGGUUGUACAAACAAUUGUGAAAGGCAACUAAAAAGACGGCAAAGCAAAUUGGUGGAGCUUUGAUUUUGGUUCAAUUGUGGAUAUAUGCCAGAUUCUCACAUAUGUCCCCAUAGAAGGUGCCCCCACCAGAGGGUGUUUAUGGUUCACCACCACCAAUUCCUUUUGCCAUGAAGUGGGCAGGGGCUAAGUGUACAAAGAACACUCACGCAUGUGCUUUAUGCAUAUCGCAAUCAAAUUGCCACGACACGGCCCGACCAAGUUAAGUAGGAGUAAUAUGUGGAUGAAUUGAGUUGCCUUCCUCCUAAUUUUUGCAUCGAGGGAAGUAAUGUGUGGAGGUCGAAAGUUCCACUUAUAUUUUUUUGGCUUGUAGAGUUUCACCUACCAGAUCGUGUCCUCCAAAAAUUUGGGCUAAACCAGGAACAACCCGAAGAUGUUGAUACUAAUUGCAAAUUACAUAAAAUAGAUGCGAGGGGCAAAGUAGAAAAAAAUUGGAAGGUGGAACAUGCAGUCCAUAUUCAGAAAUGGAAUGAUCGUUUUGAGUACGUCUGUCAUGCAUAGAGGAUAGAGGAGGUGAUGUCACGUCAUCAUCCAUAUAUGGUGUGGUAUCGUAGGAUCACUCGACUGUAUAUUGACUGUGAUAACACUAAAAUGGAAAUUUUGAUUGCCAACCAACUGGUUGUCCUUAGUUGGUUCAAUGAAGACUUUGAAGAAUACAAGUUCAUCAAGAAAGCCCUUAAGAAUGUGGAUCGCAUAGAUGUGCCAGCCAAUGAUGAAGUAGCAAACCACACUGAAACACUAGAUGUAGGGCCCAUAUGAGCUUAGCUGCUCUAGUGCAUACAUGUCGUCAACGUGCCCCCAAUCCUUAUCUUGCCAUUAAGACCCCUGAUCCACCCUUGUCCACCCUUUAUGACACAACCGGGCCCCUCGUGCCACCCAUCUCUCCCAUUGACACCGAAUCUCUCUUGUGGUUCACCCAUGCUGAAUUUGAGUCCUCCCCACACACACCACCGUUGACCACAACUCGCCCAUGGCCCCGUCCUAUAGCUCCCCCCCAGAUAGUUAUACCCACCCCCUUCCUUCAAACACCCCAAGUUGAGAAAAUGUCUACCAGUCCGUGUCAUACACAAUUGCCUCCUACCUCCUUCUCUCCCUUGAUAUAUGUUGCACAAGCAACGCAACCACAUGAUGGACACGUUGAGCAGGGGCAACGUGAUCAAGUUGAGCAGCCACACGAUGCAAACGAUCACGCUCCACCUAAACGGAAAUUGACUCGCACCAUCCAACGAAAGAGAUGCGGCAUAGGUUCCCACCUGGUAUUCCAAGUGCUUUAUUGUUAUUUUAAUUUCAUCUAUUUUUCGUAGUUUUAUGUGCAUGAAUUUGUUUGUUUGUAUAAGCUUACAAAUAGUUUUAUGAGCAAAUUACAGCUCCAAAUGAGUUAUUAGAGCAGGUUGCAGCUCCAAUUGAUAGAAACGCUCACCCUACAACCAAACAGUACACUAGAUGCGACCAGAAAAGAAGUAAACAAGGGGAGGGUGCAGCCUACAGAAGAUAUUUUUUGAAAAGGAGGAUAAGUUGCCCUAUUCUUUCUAUAUAUCAGAUAAGGAGCUUGUUGUACCUCUUGGCACUUACUUAGAGAAAAACAAAGAUAACUUGCUGGAAAGGUUGACUAGGAAGAUGAAGGAAUGGUUUCAUUUGGAAUGCGGCUUCUUUCCAGGGGUGCAGUCUGAGGAAUACGGAGUACAUUGUUGGGGCUGUUGUUUUUACAGGACAUUAAACAAAGUUUAAUGCUAGUGGACAGUUUUGUGAGGUAGCUGAAAUGGUUGGACCAAAAUGACUUUGAAAAGAAUGCAAAUUACUGUCAGCAAGAUAGAUGGGGUGGGCAGUUAAUUACUGGCAGCAAGGAUAAGGAAAUUCAAGAAUUGACUGCUGAGUUGGAGAAUGCAAGCCAGCAAUGUGAAGCACAUCGAGAAUUGAAUAGAAAGAUGUCCUGGAUAUGUAUUGGACCUUCAACCUAGUGAAUCCUUUUGGGAUUUUUCUUUUUUUUUAAAAAAUUUGUUGAUGGACUUGAAUAGAAUUGAUUAGCUAUGCUUAAUGGGAUAUUAAUAAAGUGCCAAGGCCUCAUAGUUCAGGAUUUAAAACCCCCAUCCCCAUGACAGUGUAUUGAAUUAUCAAAAAAUUAAUGAAAUAUUUCUUUGAUAAUUUAGUAAUUUGUAAGGACAUCAUGAUGUUUCUUGAGUCUUGAAUAAGAAAUU